rnacentral:ncRNA from 1 species
GCAAAGAUAAAAACGCAAUGUACAAAUUGUACUAGAGCUGGUAGGUAGCCCAGCCGUCUAUUUUAAUAGGUAAGUAACCUGCCCCUCCGGGUUGUCCAUUCUUUGUUUAUUUA